rnacentral:rRNA from 1 species
AUUGAACGCUGGCGGCAGGCCUAACACAUGCAAGUCGAGCGAGCGGCGGACGGGUGAGUAAUGUCUGGGAAACUGCCUGAUGGAGGGGGAUAACUACUGGAAACGGUAGCUAAUACCGCAUACCAUCGGAUGUGCCCAGAUGGGAUUAGCUUGUUGGUGGGGUAAAGGCCUACCAAGGCGACGAUCCGUAACUGGUCUGAGAGGAUGACCAGCCACACUGGAACUGAGACACGGUCCAGACUCCUACGGGAGGCAGCAGUGGGGAAUAUUGCACAAUGGGCGCAAGCCUGAUACAGCCAUGCCGCGUGUAUGAAGAAGGCCUUCGGGUUGUAAAGUACUUUCAGCGGGGAGGCGUUACCCGCAGAAGAAGCACCGGCUAACUCCGUGCCAGCAGCCGCGGUAAUUC